rnacentral:lncRNA from 1 species
CCUGUGAAUUGGCUGAUAUAAAUAAGCAAAGAGCUGACGAAACAAGAGAAACUUUUCUCUCUUCUUGAAGCCAUUCGUUCCUCGAACUUGAUGAUUAUAGUGGGUUACAAAUGUAGAAACUAUGAGUACUUUGGGACAAUGGAGCAAAACAUAGCAGAUUAAAUACAAUAAUUUUGAGAUUUAAUGCCUUGAAUCUUGGAUGGAGACAUACUGCGUAUCAAAAUUAUAGAGCUUGACAAGACCUAAAACUUUGAAAUUGGAACUUUUUUCAUUUGAAAUGAUUUAGGGGCUGAAAUAUUCGAGACAAGAUCAUGAAAAAGAUAGCUAUCUAGAUGUAUACUCACAAAAGAGUUUCUAGUGAUGUAGUGGAGCAUUUUUUUGUACAUGUGUAAGGUUUUAGGUUUGAAUCUCUAAAGAUUCAUUUUUUUUUGGUUUUUUAGGAUUAAUAGUGAGAAUUGAUUAGAACCGGAUGGCUUGCUCGUCUUUGAAAAUUAAAAUGUGUACCUCCAAAAAUGCUCCCAUAAUGAUUGGUUAAAAGUAGAUGACUUGUCCAUCUCUAAAAAAACAUCUGCCUUCGAAAAUGUUCUCUGUGACCAGUGAGGCAUUAUUAAAGAUGUUGGUGGCUUCUAGAAGGUUAACGAGCUUUAACAGCUAAUAGGUUCUUGGAAUGUAGGUUGGAGGUGUACAUGAACUAUUAACAUCCCUUUAUCAACUAAUGUGUAAAAAGCUAUAUUCUACUGGGUGGAAAAUAAUCUUUUAAGUUUUCUCUUAUUGAGUUGGAUGUGACAUAAAUGGGCCUUUGGCUAAAAAUAAGCUCCAAUUGUCGAAGAUAUAUGCUCUAAGAGCUGGCGCGGAGAGAUCAGUGAAUUUGUUUAAGGUUGUUCAUGUGGUGUUCUCACUGAGUGAUACCAAUAACCUAAUAAAUGGUCCUAAAAUGUG